rnacentral:rRNA from 1 species
AGGACGAACGCUGGCGGCGUGCUUAACACAUGCAAGUCGAGCGGAAAGGCCCUUCGGGGUACUCGAGCGGCGAACGGGUGAGUAACACGUGAGUAAUCUGCCCCUAGCUCUGGGAUAGCUCCGGGAAACCGGGAUUAAUACCAGAUACGACCACUUUAGACAUCUGUUGUGGUGGAAAGAAUUUUGGCUAGGGAUGAGCUCGCGGCCUAUCAGCUUGUUGGUGAGGUAACGGCUCACCAAGGCGACGACGGGUAGCCGGCCUGAGAGGGCGACCGGCCACACUGGGACUGAAACACGGCCCAGACUCCUACGGGAGGCAGCAGUGGGAAUAUUGCGCAAUGGGCGAAAGCCUGACGCAGCGACGCCGCGUGGGGGAUGAAGGCCUUCGGUUGUAACCCUUUCAGCAGGACGAAGCGAAAGUGGCGGUACCUGCAGAAGAGCGCGGCUAACUACGUGCCAGCAGCCGC